rnacentral:rRNA from 1 species
UACGGAGGGUGCAAGCGUUGUCCGGAAUCACUGGGCGUAAAGGGCGCGUAGGCGGCUCAUGAAGGCUGUGGUGAAAGUCCGGGGCUCAACCUCGGAUCGGCCGUGGCGACUCGUGGGCUGGAGCACUGUAGAGGCGGGUGGAAUUCCGGGUGUAGCGGUGAAAUGCGUAGAUAUCAGGAGGAAUACCUAUGGCGAAAGCAGGUAUCUGGGCCAUCACUGACGCUGAGCUGCGAAAGCUAGGGGAGCAAACAGG